UCUUCCGUAGUAUAGUGGUCAGUAUGUGAGCUUGUCAUCCAAUGCAAUGUCAUCGCUCGAGACCCGGGUUCAAUUCCCGGCGGGAGAG